rnacentral:rRNA from 1 species
CGUAUCACCCAAGACAACUUUACGGAGUUGACGAUUGACGGAGCGAAGCGACGUCAAAGCGUUCAUUAAAGUCGAGUUGGCUUAGGGAUACGUUCGUUGGGUAGGGGAGCGUUCUGUAAGCCUGUGAAGGUGGCCUGUGAGGGUUGCUGGAGGUAUCAGAAGUGCGAAUGCUGACAUAAGUAACGAUAAAGCGGGUGAAAAGCCCGCUCGCCGGAAGACCAAGGGUUCCUGUCCAACGUUAAUCGGGGCAGGGUGAGUCGACCCCUAAGGCGAGGCCGAAAGGCGUAGUCGAUGGGAAACGGGUUAAUAUUCCCGUACUUGGUGUUACUGCGAAGGGGGGACGGAGAAGGCUAUGUUGGCCGGGCGACGGUUGCCCCGGUUUAAGCGUGUAGGCUGGUUUUCCAGGCAAAUCCGGAAAAUCAAGGCUGAGGCGUGACGACGAGGCACUACGGUGCUGAAGCAACAAAUGCCCUGCUUCCAGGAAAAGCCUCUAAGCAUCAGGUAACAUCAAAUCGUACCCCAAACCGACACAGGUGGUCAGGUAGAGAAUACCAAGGCGCUUGAGAGAACUCGGGUGAAGGAACUAGGCAAAAUGGUGCCGUAACUUCGGGAGAAGGCACGCUGACACGUAGGUGAAGUGAUUUACUCAUGGAGCUGAAGUCAGUCGAAGAUACCAGCUGGCUGCAACUGUUUAUUAAAAACACAGCACUGUGCAAACACGAAAGUGGACGUAUACGGUGUGACGCCUGCCCGGUGCCGGAAGGUUAAUUGAUGGGGUCAGCGCAAGCGAAGCUCCUGAUCGAAGCCCCGGUAAACGGCGGCCGUAACUAUAACGGUCCUAAGGUAGCGAAAUUCCUUGUCGGGUAAGUUCCGACCUGCACGAAUGGCGUAAUGAUGGCCAGGCUGUCUCCACCCGAGACUCAGUGAAAUUGAACUCGCUGUGAAGAUGCAGUGUACCCGCGGCAAGACGGAAAGACCCCGUGAACCUUUACUAUAGCUUGACACUGAACAUUGAGCCUUGAUGUGUAG